GACAGAUACUGAUAGAAUUCUGAAGCGGAAUAGGGCCCCUAAAGGUGGAAGGACGGGUUUAAAUAGACCCUGGGAUACGGCGUCAUAAUGAUCGCGAAUCUCCCCAAGCUGGCCCGCGCUUGACACGUGUCCCACUCGCCACGGCAGGCGGCUAAAAGUGGCUGAUGGUUGGCAGGGCCAUUAUUGCGCCGUAUCUUGGCCAGUGUACCAGUGAGAAUUUCGAAGGGUCCCUUCGUAUCGCCC
rnacentral:lncRNA from 1 species